GACGAUUUCUCGGAGAUUCACCGCUGGUUCCCUUGCUUUCCAAUAUCCCUUCCCGGUUUGAACAAGAUUUCACUGCACUACAACAGCAGGUUUUUCAUUGUUUGCUGUUAAGCGCAGAUUAUGUAAUGACUAAAAGAGGAAGACCUUCAAAUCCCCAACAAUCCCAGAAAGAGGGGACGAAGCAGUUAAGGAUUGACAUCGGAGACGCAGUCGAUGAUAUCCUGCCUGUGGGAAUCGCCCAGAAAUUCCGCAAACGACUGUCAGAAGCAAUAACUAGUUCAG